UGGCGAACGGGUGAGUAACACGUGAGUAACCUGCCCUUGACUCUGGGAUAAGCCUGGGAAACCGGGUCUAAUACUGGAUACGACCUUCCCGCGCAUGCGGUGUUGGUGGAAAGCUUUUGCGGUUUUGGAUGGACUCGCGGCCUAUCAGCUUGUUGGUGGGGUAAUGGCCUACCAAGGCGACGACGGGUAGCCGGCCUGAGAGGGUGACCGGCCACACUGGGACUGAGACACGGCCCAGACUCCUACGGGAGGCAGCAGUGGGGAAUAUUGCACAAUGGGCGCAAGCCUGAUGCAGCGACGCCGCGUGAGGGAUGAAGGCCUUCGGGUUGUAAACCUCUUUCAGUAGGGAAGAAGCCGAUCUUCUGGGUUGGUGACGGUACCUGCAGAAGAAGCGCCGGCUAACUACGUGCCAGCAGCCGCGGUAAUACGUAGGGCGCAAGCGUUAUCCGGAAUUAUUGGGCGUAAAGAGCUCGUAGGCGGUUUGUCGCGUCUGCCGUGAAAGUCCGGGGCUUAACCCCGGAUCUGCGGUGGGUACGGGCAGACUAGAGUGCAGUAGGGGAGACUGGAAUUCCUGGUGUAGCGGUGAAAUGCGCAGAUAUCAGGAGGAACACCGAUGGCGAAGGCAGGUCUCUGGGCUGUAACUGACGCUGAGGAGCGAAAGCAUGGGGAGCGAACAGGAUUAGAUACCCUGGUAGUCCAUGCCGUAAACGUUGGGCACUA
rnacentral:rRNA from 1 species